rnacentral:lncRNA from 1 species
UCUACGAGCUUCGGAUAGAGUAUUGGCGUGAGGAUUUCGCGUGAGGCCGUGGAUUCGGUGGACGCUUGAGGAUUCGAGGCGUUGUUGCUGCGAGGAUUUGCAGUGUGAUCGAUUGGAGAAGUUCGAUCGAUCGAGGACCGACGAAGACGAUUUACGACGAGGAUUCGAUGAAAGUUGGGUCGUGUAUUUGGUAAAUCACUUUGUACUCAAUUUUUAAUAGUGGAUUGUUUCGUGUGAUCAGUCCCGUGGGUUUUUUUCUCCGAGUUGGAGUUUUCCCACGUUAAAUCUCGGUGUGUUGAUUUUAUUU